UCAAAAACAAUAAUACCCUGAAAUUUAUGAUCUUCAUGAACUUUCGUCAAAUGAAUCGCCAUAAGAAGCCAUUGAAAAGGAAGAAAAAGACCAACUCUUACCUAUUUCCCAAACUCUUACCCAUUUAUCCCUUCCAACAGAUCUCUCUUAUAUCUCUCAUCUUACCAUCAAAUUUAUGUAGAUUUUGUUAGCAUAAACAUGCUCUAUCUUUUCAUCACCAAAUAUUGACCCUUGUUCAAUUCUUUGGAGUUCCGUUUACAGAGAAUUUUUUGGAUCUGUGUUUAUUACCCAAAACGAAAGGAUUUGAUAUGGAGAUCGAAAGAAGAAAAAGAAGAAUUAGGUGUAGAAUCAAAUGGAUGGCGAUGGAGUUGAACGUAAUUUCUACGGAAUUUCUCUGGAAACUAAGAGUGUGUUUGGAUGAGGCAAAGUUAGAGAGAAGAGUAGAGAGAAGGAAGAACAAGAGGAGCAAAGAGGAGAAGCUUGGAUCUUCACCAUUUUCUCCGCCGAAUCAACUCAUCUUCAUCAUCAACGACUUGUAAUCGAGGUACUACAGGUUCCGCGAAGGGUAAGGAGAAAGCAGUUUGAUUCCUUAUUCCUUAUGUUUCUUUUGGAUAUGGCGAAGCUUCCGUUGUGGAGUUCUUUGAGAUCAUUGUUUGAUCUAGUUCUUAGUAUUUUAUUUUGAACAUCUUGUAUGUAUUAUGCCAUUGUGUAGAACAUUUGUAUUAGGGCAUUAAUAUGUAUAAUGUGUUGACUAGGAACUUAUUGGUAUUUCAGUACCAAAUACUUGGAUUCAUGUAUAUUUAUAUGAUUUGAUGCAUGUAAUUAUAUAUGGGUGUUACAGUUGGUAUCAGAGCAGGUCGUAUCCUCGACCUUGCCAUGAGAUAUUAUAAGUGUUUCUUCUGUCCAAGAUGUGUUGUGUUCCCAUGAUUUUUGUUGUGUUAUGACUAUGGUAUUAAGCCUGAUCAACUUAAUCCCAUUUUCAUGACCUCCAGGAACAUGGUGGACGGACGCAGGACUCGUGGUUGACCCCCACACUCAACCCCCACAAGUGAAUCAACCGAAUGGCGGUGAGAAUAUUCCGUGGCCCAGU